UGGCUGUCUGAGGGUUGUUUUCUUUUUCGGGACAGUCUGGGGUCAGAUUCGACCAGCUCAGCAUCAGGUGUUUGGGUUUCGGUUGGGGGGUCAACUGUUGAAGGUGGAGGAGCUCGGAGUUCUUCGGCGGUGAGGGGAAUUAUUUUUUAUCUUAAUUUUUUGGCACGAAGGACUUUCGCCCGAUCGUGUAGAGGUAUGUCAAGUAGACUCCUCUUCAUUGGGGCUGAUUCAGAAGGUGUGGUGACAGGGUCAGUUGGAGGAGUUGGUUGUAGGUUUGCUUCGGGAAGAACCUCCUCGUCGCUUUCAGGAUCUAUCUCGCGAGGGAUAGUUUUGGCCUUUUUAGCAGCU
rnacentral:lncRNA from 1 species